CAACGACUCAUUGGUUGUGAUAAAGGUUAGACUCUCCCGGCUGCAUGGCCAAUAAAGGGCAAGAAUAAAGCGGGUUCCGCCUCUUCCUCGGGUGACUGGGUCCUUCCGUUGACGCUGAGCAACGCUCGUGUUCCCUGGGCGUUACUGACCGGUGCAGUGAUCUCCAAGAUGGAGCUUGCAAGGUUUCCUCUGAGAUCACUCGCUCAAAAAGCACUGGCACAAGAAACCUCCUCUAAGACUCUGCCUCUCGAGAACCUGGCCUAAGACAAUGAGCAUAUGAUUUUAAAACGGUCAUGCAGAGAAGACAAGAAUUGAAAAGAUUAAUAAUAAAGACAAAAGCAACAACAAAAGGGCAAAACUAGAUUUUUUUCCUACUUCUAGUGCAAUCUCUUCUUAGCCAAAAUAGGUGAUAAAAAAUGACAGUUUAAUGAGAUCUAACAAAAAAGUCAGCUAAAAGAACUAGAAACUGUAAAGAAGACUAUUUGAAAUAUAGAUUUCUGUCCGCUUUUCUAACAAAUAAAUCUUGCCUUAGUGACUAUAAUGGUUUCAGAUAUCAGCUAAUGAUAACAUAAAGACACUAUCAGCAAGAUGUUUAAAAUCUAUGCAUCUAGAAUAUGAAGCUGAAUUUCAACAGUGUUUUCACUGAUAUCAUGCAACACUUUAUACAAUUUCACUAAAUUAAGUGAUAAAUGUUUAGAAUUCUAAGAUUUCUUCUGAGGUUUCUUGCUUAACAGUGAAAGAUAAAACAAAACAAAAAUAGCAACAACUGAAAAGAAACCAGCUCAUACGCCACUGGGGAAAUAUUUCUUCCCUGUCACAGUUAAAAUAGCUAAAAUAACUUGAAGAAUUUUUAAAAAGAGACAAAAUCACAUUCUUUAGGUAACAUACACUGAAGGGAAUAUGCAUAGAAAAUAUUGUGGAAAGUUGAAGAAACAAGGAUUAGAACAAAUUGUGAAGUGCGGGAGGUUCAUAUUCAUUUGAAUGAAAGUAUAAGUGUUUCUAAUAUGUCUCAGCUCAUGGUAUUUGUUAAAUUCUGGGUCAAUAAUAAAACAUAGGAAAAACGAUUUUUCUUAAGUUAUUAAAAGUAUCCCAGAGAGGUUAUGUUUUCAUUAUGUUUAUAAAUGACUUCUUUAAUAAAAACAAUUUUUCAUGGGAAAACAAAAUUGAUUCGUUUUAGUGGAGCAACUGAUUUCAAUAGAAUAAAUGAAUUUUCUGGAAUAUGGUUACAGUGCUAAUAAUACAUGUCAAAUCAUAUCACUGGAUUCUUCAUCGGCAAGUUAUAAUAACAAGAAGGUUGGGGCCAAACUGUUCAAACUUCUACAGGUUAUCAUCAACCUAGUUAUUUUAAUAAAAACAAGACUUUAAAAUGUUAGUGUCAACACUUUACAGUACUUUUUAAUUAUCUGUAGAAUGGACAUAAAGUUUUUUCAUACAACAAAGAUAGGUUCACUGAUAUUUUGUGGCAAAAUACUUAAAAGAGCUGCCAAAGUGAAAAUGAGCUACACAUUUUCAUUUUACAAAAAGGAAAGUGUUUCAAAUUUUCUGUCCUUUCCUGUACUGACAAAUGGCUCUCUGUAAAAUGCAGUGUUGGCAGAUAUUUUGGGGAACAGAAAAAAGGAACUCUUUAUCUUUUCCUUCAAGAUAACAGUGACCUUUUAACAAUGUGUGGAAAAGUAAUUGCUUUUCAAAAGCAAGUACAAUUUGGGGCCAGCACGGGGCCAGCACGGGGUGUAGUGGUCAAGUUGGUGUGCUCUGCUUUGGCGGACUAGAGUUCUCUGCUUCAGAUCUUGGCCGGGGACCUACACACCGCUCAUCAAGCCAUGCUGUGGUGGCAUCCCACAUAGAAGAACUAGAAG